CAAAGUAUAGUUUAAUAAAAUAAUAAUUUUGGAGAUUAUAGAUGAAGAUUUUCUUUUACUUUGA
rnacentral:tRNA from 1 species